rnacentral:misc_RNA from 1 species
AUGGCCAGGCUUAACGACUUUCUAUUGUCUUGUUUUUCCUACGGGACCGUGACGCUUAGUGUGUUCCUGUAUGUGCCGUUCAAGAUGAGUAAGAAGCUGCACGAAGCGUUCUUCGCGCGCUUAGUCUACCCCCUGGCGAUGUACUUUUCGGGAGACCGAUUGACUGCGGUACGCCGUCAUGGGGUGUCCCAACUAGACGACCUGGUGUCUCACGACGGCACGCUCAAGAAGGAGGGCACCAUCAGGGUCCUGGAGAUCGGCACCGGCUUCGGCGCCAACUUUGAGUACAUGCAGCGGAACGUUAAAUACUGGAGCUUAGACCCUAACGCGGAGUUCGACUACGGAUUGCGGAAGAACCUGAAAAAGAACCCGAACGUAGAAUUGGAGCGCUGCGUUCACGAGUACGCCGAAGACAUGCGAGGAGUUCCCGAUGACCACUUCGACGCCGUGCUAAUGACCUUUGUACUUUGCUCCGUAACCGAAGUGAGGAAGGUCCUCGCUGAGUGCAAGAGGGUCCUGGCCAAGGGCGGCAGGUUGGUAUUCGUGGAACACGUGGCCUAUCCAGAAGGGACCUGGGGCUUUCUAAUACAGACGCUGGUCAAUCCGCUGUGGUCUUUCACCUUCCUUGGAUGCCACAUAAACAGGAGACCGGAGCGCCUGUUCAAGGAUGCAGGCUUCGACCAGAUCGAACUCAAUCGAGUGUUUCUCUCUAUGCCUGGAGUGUUGAGUCCCGCCGUGUACGGCUGCGCCGUUGUAGUCAAAGACUGAUCCUGUCGGCACGGGUAAAAAACCAAUGCGGUGCUCCCGUGCUCAGUUAAAGAUUAAACCAAGCCACAGCUGCCUCGUCAAGCG